ensembl:lncRNA
GGGAUCUCAACCGUCACCGACGCAGCGGAUCAGAAUUGAGAGCCCCGAAUUUCAAAUUAGCCGGGUUUUUAUAGAGGUUACAGCAAGGUAUGAUUUACUGAGCAUCCAGCUGCACCUGCCUCCCCUGGCAGCAGCCUGAGCUGCUCCCUCUCUGAGAGGUUGUGCUGGGGUAGUGAUCCUUCCUCUGAAAAGUUCUUCUUCAUGGCACCAAGACUGCUGAGAAAUGCUCCAAAUUUACCUCUGAUCUCAGAGGUUAGAAGGGUAGAAGAAGAGAGUUCCUGAAUAGAGCCACAUGAUUAUCACUGGAGCCAAUGGUUAAGCUCUGGUGUGAUGCCAUCUAGAACUGAAAGGAUAGAAUGCAUCUCCCUCCAUCUCUUGGCUCUGAUUUAC